rnacentral:rRNA from 1 species
GAGAGUUUGAUCAUGGCUCAGAUUGAACGCUGGCGGCAGGCCUAACACAUGCAAGUCGAGCGGAAACGAGUUCACUGAACCUUCGGGGAACGUGAACGGCGUCGAGCGGCGGACGGGUGAGUAAUGCCUGGGAAAUUGCCCUGAUGUGGGGGAUAACCAUUGGAAACGAUGGCUAAUACCGCAUAAUAGCUUCGGCUCAAAGAGGGGGACCUUCGGGCCUCUCGCGUCAGGAUAUGCCCAGGUGGGAUUAGCUAGUUGGUGAGGUAAGGGCUCACCAAGGCAACGAUCCCUAGCUGGUCUGAGAGGAUGAUCAGCCACACUGGAACUGAGACACGGUCCAGACUCCUACGGGAGGCAGCAGUGGGGAAUAUUGCACAAUGGGCGCAAGCCUGAUGCAGCCAUGCCGCGUGUAUGAAGAAGGCCUUCGGGUUGUAAAGUACUUUCAGCAGUGAGGAAGGUUCAUACGUUAAUAGCGUANGGAUUGACGU